rnacentral:rRNA from 1 species
UACGUAGGGUGCGAGCGUUAAUCGGAAUUACUGGGCGUAAAGCGUGCGCAGGCGGUUUUGUAAGCCAGGUGUGAAAUCCCCGAGCUCAACCUGGGAAUGGCAUUUGGGACUGCAAGGCUGGAGUGCGGCAGAGGAGACUGGAAUUCCUGGUGUAGCAGUGAAAUGCGUAGAUAUCAGGAGGAAUACCGAUGGCGAAGGCAGGUCUCUGGGCUGACACUGACGCUCAUGCACGAAAGCGUGGGGAGCAACAGG